AGAGUUUGAUCCUGGCUCAGAACGAACGCUGGCGGCAUGCCUAACACAUGCAAGUCGGACGCUUUUGGGGUUUCGGCCUCAAGGGAGUGGCGGACGGGUGAGUAGCGCGUGGGAACCUGCCCCUUUGUGGGGGAUAACCGAGGGAAACUUCGGCUAAUACCGCAUGCGCCCCGGCGAAAGCUGGGGGAAAGAUUUAUCGCAGAGGGAGGGGCCCGCGUCGGAUUAGGUAGUUGGUGGGGUAACGGCCUACCAAGCCGGUGAUCCGUAGCUGGUCUGAGAGGAUGAUCAGCCACACUGGGACUGAGACACGGCCCAGACUCCUACGGGAGGCAGCAGUGGGGAAUAUUGGACAAUGGGCGCAAGCCUGAUCCAGCAAUGCCGCGUGAGUGAUGAAGGCCUUCGGGUUGUAAAGCUCUUUCGGCGGGGACGAUGAUGACGGUACCCGCAGAAGAAGCCCCGGCUAACUUCGUGCCAGCAGCCGCGGUAAUACGAAGGGGGCGAGCGUUGUUCGGAUUUACUGGGCGUAAAGGGCGCGUAGGCGGCGGGUCAAGUCGAGUGUGAAAGCCCCGGGCUCAACCUGGGAAUUGCGCUCGAGACUGGUCUGCUUGAGUUCGGGAGAGGAGAGUGGAAUUCCCAGUGUAGAGGUGAAAUUCGUAGAUAUUGGGAAGAACACCGGUGGCGAAGGCGGCUCUCUGGACCGAGACUGACGCUGAGGCGCGAAAGCGUGGGGAGCAAACAGGAUUAGAUACCCUAGUAGUCC
rnacentral:rRNA from 1 species